CCUCCUUCAACUGCUCCGGGGACAGCGGCGGCUCCGGGCGGCUGACGGCGGCGUCCUUCUCCGCCGGGGCGUUCCACUCGCUCAGGGAGAC
rnacentral:tRNA from 1 species